UCGAUGAAGAACGCAGCGAAAUGCGAUAAGUAAUGUGAAUUGCAGAAUUCAGUGAAUCAUCGAAUCUUUGAACGCACCUUGCGCUCCCUGGUAUUCCGGGGAGCACGCCUGUUCGAGUGUCGCGAAAUUUCUCAAGCUUUGGAUGGCUUUGUUGUCUGUCCUCAGCCUUGGUUGUUGGGCUUUGCCGUGUCCUUCAUUUGGAACGGCUGGCCUUAAAAGCAUUAGCUGAUCCUCGUGUGGCACUGGUUCUACUCAGCGUGAUAAUAGUCUGAUCGCUGAGGACAUCUUUUGGGAUGGCCAGUUCUCAUUUGGGUUGCUUCUAAACCUGGUUUUGCAGAUUCUUCAAUCUGUGUUCCACUUUUCAGCUUUGACCUCGAAUCAGGUGGGACUACCCGCUGAACUUAA
rnacentral:rRNA from 1 species